GAUGAACGCUGGCGGCGUGCCUAAUACAUGCAAGUCGAGCGAACGGACGAGAAGCUUGCUUCUCUGAUGUUAGCGGCGGACGGGUGAGUAACACGUGGAUAACCUACCUAUAAGACUGGGAUAACUUCGGGAAACCGGAGCUAAUACCGGAUGAUAUUUUGAACCGCAUGGUUCAAAAGUGAAAGACGGUCUUGCUGUCACUUAUAGAUGGAUCCGCGCUGCAUUAGCUAGUUGGUAAGGUAACGGCUUACCAAGGCAACGAUGCAUAGCCGACCUGAGAGGGUGAUCGGCCACACUGGACCUGAGACACGGUCCAGACUCCUACGGGAGGCAGCAGUAGGGAAUCUUCCGCAAUGGGCGAAAGCCUGACGGAGCAACGCCGCGUGAGUGAUGAAGGUCUUCGGAUCGUAAAACUCUGUUAUUAGGGAAGAACAUAUGUGUAAGUAACUGUGCACAUCUUGACGGCACCUAAUCAGAAAGCCACGGCUAACUACGUG
rnacentral:rRNA from 1 species